AACCCAUGUUGAGGGCACUUCCGCAGAAUGUUUUUGAAUCUAUUCCAGGCUUCAUCAAAUGAUUCAGAUUCUCCUUGACUGAAUAUCGAUAUCUCAUGUCUCAGUUU
rnacentral:snoRNA from 1 species